UUGUCUAAUUUCAAGAAUUGAUUCAUGUGCAGAAUAAGCAGUGUAUCCAAUAAUGGAAAAAAGAGUUAGUAGAACUGAUAUUUUUUUUGCAUUUAUUGUCGAGCUUUCCAUUUCAGUUUAUUAUGCCAGAUUAGAUUUCGGUGCGGUGCUUGUGUAUAGUAGGUGGUAGCUGCGAGAACUCAGAAUAAUGAAAUCUAUGAAG